GUGGCCAUAGCUCAGUUGGUAGAGCACCGGAUUGUGAUUCCGGUUGUCGCGGGUUCAAGCCCCGUUGGCCACC
rnacentral:tRNA from 1 species